UAUAGAAACAUUUGCUCAUGUGAAAUUAGUAAAGAGACUUAGUCAACACCCUUUUCCUAUGAAAUCCAGUGAAAUUAGAACAUACUUGUCUUUUAAAAAUAUAAGAAAUGUAGAGACAUAUUCUCUUACUUAUAGUUAAUUACUUUUCCAAAUAGCUUUCCAGGAUGAUUGUGGCUUGUCAAGAAAUUCCAUACUUAGCUUGACUGUUUUUGAAUUAAAUUAAGACUAUGUUAAGUAUUAACUCAAAAGUUUAAAGAGUACAUUAUUGUUCUGUAAUAUAAAAUUUAAUACACUGAUGGUAGCAAUCAUCAGUUUCCAGGCAAUAUUAACCACAGGAUGGGUAAAUAUGUCUGUUUCAAUUACUACACACAGAUCACUCCCUUAAAUCUCUCGAGAUCUAUCUUCCACAAAGAGAAGUAAAUUAACAAUAUUAACUCCAGACGGCUUAAUGCCAGCAAUCUCAAGUGCUUGAAUUUUUACAGAAAAAAACAAACUGAAAAUAAAAAAGGAUAAAUAAAUUACAUUUUUUUAAAUGAGUAAAAUAAAAUUCUUCAAGCCAGACACUUGUUUUUAAUAGACUUACAGAGAUGAUUCCCAGAAAUCAUAUAAUACAUCUUUCUGCCUCUGGGAAUAAUUACCCUUAAGUCUUCUGAAAUAUAGGUUAUCAGUUUGGUUUUAUAAAAAGUUCGAGAAUAGUUUAAAGCUACCAUUUCAUAUCCUG
rnacentral:lncRNA from 1 species